GUUCUUGGUAUAAGCUUUCGUGUGCAUGCACACUUCUGAGUAAGUGUACAUGCACACGAAAGCUUAUACCAGGAAC